GACGAACGCUGGCGGCGUGCCUAAUACAUGCAAGUCGAACGCAGUGGGGACGGGUGAGUAACACGUGGGUAACCUCCCAUCAGAGGGGAUAACACUUGGAAACAGGUGCUAAACCGAUACUGAUGGAUGGACUCGCGGUGCAUUAGCUAGUUGGUGAGGGAAAGGCGUCCAAAGGCCACGAGGCAUAGCUGACCUGAGAGGUUGUACGGCCACACUGGGACUGAGACACGGCCCAGACUCCUACGGGAGGCAGCAGUGGGGAAUCUUCGGCAAUGGACGAAAGUCGGACCGAGCAACGCCGCGUGAGUGAAGAAGGUUUUCGGAUCGUAAAACGCUGUUGUUAGAGAAGCGGUAUCUAACCAGAAAGCCACGGCUAACUACGUGCCAGCAGCCGCGGUAAUAC
rnacentral:rRNA from 1 species